GAGUGAAAUAGAACCUGAAACCGUGUGCUUACAAGUAGUCAGAGCCCGUUAAUGGGUGAUGGCGUGCCUUUUGUAGAAUGAACCGGCGAGUUACGAUUUGAUGCAAGGUUAAGCAGUAAAUGUGGAGCCGUAGCGAAAGCGAGUCUGAAUAGGGCGUUUAGUAUUUGGUCGUAGACCCGAAACCAGGUGAUCUACCCUUGGUCAGGUUGAAGUUCAGGUAACACUGAAUGGAGGACCGAACCGACUUACGUUGAAAAGUGAGCGGAUGAACUGAGGGUAGCGGAGAAAUUCCAAUCGAACCUGGAGAUAGCUGGUUCUCUCCGAAAUAGCUUUAGGGCUAGCCUCAAGUGAUGAUUAUUGGAGGUAGAGCACUGUUUGGACGAGGGGCCCCUCUCGGGUUACCGAAUUCAGACAAACUCCGAAUGCCAAUUAAUUUAACUUGGGAGUCAGAACAUGGGUGAUAAGGUCCGUGUUCGAAAGGGAAACAGCCCAGACCACCAGCUAAGGUCCCAAAAUAUAUGUUAAGUGGAAAAGGAUGUGGCGUUGCCCAGACAACUAGGAUGUUGGCUUAGAAGCAGCCAUCAUUUAAAGAGUGCGUAAUAGCUCACUAGUCGAGUGACACUGCGCCGAAAAUGUACCGGGGCUAAACAUAUUACCGAAGCUGUGGAUUGUCCUUUGGACAAUGGUAGGAGAGCGUUCUAAGGGCGUUGAAGCAUGAUCGUAAGGACAUGUGGAGCGCUUAGAAGUGAGAAUGCCGGUGUGAGUAGCGAAAGACGGGUGAGAAUCCCGUCCACCGAUUGACUAAGGUUUCCAGAGGAAGGCUCGUCCGCUCUGGGUUAGUCGGGUCCUAAGCUGAGGCCGACAGGCGUAGGCGAUGGAUAACAGGUUGAUAUUCCUGUACCACCUAUAAUCGUUUUAAUCGAUGGGGGGACGCAGUAGGAUAGGCGAAGCGUGCGAUUGGAUUGCACGUCUAAGCAGUAAGGCUGAGUAUUAGGCAAAUCCGGUACUCGUUAAGGCUGAGCUGUGAUGGGGAGAAGACAUUG
rnacentral:rRNA from 1 species